UAACAACAUUUUUUUUUACGUAUAAUUUUACUCCGAUACAUUUCCCCUGACAGCUUCGUUACUCGCUUCACAAUCAAAUCAAUCUGAAGCUGGAAGAAGAAAAUGAUUCAUGUUGGAAAAAAGAAGCAAGCAAUGGCGCACCCAUGGGUGAACUUGUUUUGCAAGGCAGCAUUCGACGACAUGCACCCACCGGGAGCAUGUCACUUGCAAAACAGUCAUCCACUCAGCAGUACUUUGCCCAAGCAAGUCCGAAAUAGCACAAUCAGGCCUGAAAUCGUUCUACCACCACCACCUCCUGAUGAGGACGAACACCCUUGGCCAUAUCUAAAAUAAAUGUUUUAUUUUCUCAGAAUGAAGGAAUCAUCCUACAGGAUGAAAUGUCUGUUAUGUUUACUAAAAGUUCAGGAAAUACUAGCGUUCGAGAACUCGCCGUCGAAUCGAAAAUUUAAUCUAAGAACACAUUGAGGUAAGCCUACUGUUAGCUUGCCAGCUAGCUAGAAUAAUGUUAGCAUGCUAGCUAACAUUAGCUAACCUAGCUAGCUUGCCCACAGUUACUAAUGCAACAAGCCGUGUUAGUUGAUGCUAGUUAAUCCUAUACCUAAAUAGUUCACUAGCUAGUAGCUACCUACUUUAACUGAAGCUUUGUUAGCUAAUGCAAUCUAAAUAAACUAACGUUCGCUAACUAGCUAGCGUAGUAGUUUUUGAAUCUGGGCACAUUUUAGUCAGCUAACGUUAGUCUAGCCAAAUACAUUUUCUCUAAACACCCCUGGUCAAGCUAGCUAGCUAACGUUAACAUUCAAAUGUUAGCUAACACCCACUAGCUUAGCUAGUUAGCUAGCCAUUUUAUUAAUUGUGUUAGUUGAUCAAUUUGUUCUUCUUACCUAGCUAAUUACUGUAGACUUAAGAUAUUGACAUAACCUACAAACUAGAUCAAUGAAAUUUUUUUACAUUUUACAUGUUUACAAUUAACAUUGUAAAAUUAAAUGGUCACAAAUUCUCACUUAACUAAUGUUGUUUAUAUGUUUAAAAUUAGGAUCCUAUACCUUAAGUAUUGUGGUGAAGUAUGUAGUCCAAGGGCUCCAAACAUUCACUGUUGUAGAACAAGAACCGUUCAGAGAGUUUGUCCAGGAUCUGCAGCCUAACUCAAAGAUCAUAUCAAGACCCUCUCUGCGCUCCAGGGUUGUUGAUAACCUCCAAGAAAAUGAAGAAGGUGACUGAGGCCAUGACAAGUUGACCACAUCGCCACCACCACUGACUGCUGAUCUGCAAGAAGACGGAAAUUCAUUGGUGUUACAGCCCAUUGGAUAGACCCUGAAAGUCUCAACAGAUGCUCUGCAGCCCUGGCCUGUAAACGGUUGAGAGGCUCGCACACCUUUGUUGGUAGGCGCCAUAAAUUACAUAAAUUCUCAGUUCGAAAUUCAGGGUAAGAUUGUGAGAACAACAGACAUCGGCUUUAACUUCUUGAAAGCUUUCCAAGUUUUUUAAGAAGACGAAAAUAACGAGGCAGUCGAUGUGAUGGUGUUGAAGCAGCUCAGCAAGGACAGGAAGAUGAUGAAGAGGAGGAACAAGAGGAGAGUGAAGAAGUGGAGUUUGUUUAUGUGGCAACAAUCCUGAAUGAAGAUGAUAGUUUUGAGGACCAGCUGCCGAAGCACCAGCGUUGUGUUAGACACCUACUCAACUUAGUAUCUACAUUCGAUGCCCUGAAAGCAUACAAAAAAAGUGUCCUGUUCAAUAUUUGGCAAGUGCCAAGCACUUUGGAACAAAUGAGGAAGAUCCACACUUGCAGCCGAAACGGUUGAAGAUGCUUGGGACCUCCAGAUGCUGCGCCCGAAUGCUACAAGGUGAAACUCAUGGUUCAUGGCUGUAGAAAGGCUCUUGUGGAUCAUCAAAGACAAAGAGAGGCUGCCGUCAGAGUUCUCUGCACAGACAUCGAGGUUUGAAUAAUCUUCCCUGAUGAGUCCUGCCUCUGCCAGUGCUGUGAUGGGUGGUUCAGACCGUGAGUCGGAUGAUACAAUAAUUUUGAGCGAGGAUGGAAGCCCCUCACGAAAGCCUCAAAGAUCUGAUGACGAAGCAAAAAAUCUAAUAGAGGGCAUACUGAAGAAAAAGCCUGGUGGAGAGGUGGUCAUCAAGGAAUACUCCAAAACUAACGGCCUGACUGACUGCACCAGACGAAAGAUGAUCAACAUUCUUGUUUUGGAGAUGACAGAUUCACGGACAUCACCAUCGCGCAGUGUGAGAGAAACGUUUCCACAAGGCAUUGUCUCCUUGUUCCCAUACCUGAAGGAUCCCUACACCACAAAUUGAUAUGAACAUUAUUACCACCCUACUAGUGGAGGAGGGUACCUCUCGUAUAGAAUCAAAACCGUUCAGAGGAAUUUGGCUUCAUCUGAGAAACGGCCCACUCAACUAUACUAUGGAUUGCCAACUGCUGAGAGGGAGUCCAGUCCAUCCACUUUGGCUACUCUGAGUGAAGACUGGUGCAGAGAGACCGUUUCUCUUAUGAAGCAUUCUUCUGAUGAAGAAACAGUCAAACAGAAGAUGAAAUUGACCUUUGGGUACAGGAAGAAGAUGACCCACGACCUGAGUAAAUGCUCCACCAUUCUAACCAAAUUUCCACGCUUUCUGGAUGUGAAGGGCUUAGUAAGACUUAAGUUGUAUACAUUUUGUUGAAUUUCCAGAUGCCAUUUGAGGUUGGCCAGUAAAUUUAAACAAAAACAACACUUCCGUAAUAGUAGCUCAAUUAAUGUGUAGGCUGGGGCUUUACUCAAACUCUGUUUUGGAGGUUCAAAUGGAAUGUUUUAUGAGAAAGAAAUGUACUUGCACAAAACAAAUGUUUUGUUCUUUGUCUUAUUUGUUUCAUGAUUGAACAGAUUUUUGUGGUGCUGUUUUUUGAGGGAACAUCAGCCACGUUUUUGGAGAGGUGGCCAACUAUAAUCAAGCAUGAAUGCUGAUGGUUAGAUGAUCAUAAUUUGUCAUUUACACUACCGUUCAAAGGUUUGGGGUCACUUAGAAAUGUCCUUGUUUUUGAAAGAAAAGCUUAUUUUUUUUGUCCAUUAAAAUAACAUCAAAUUGAUCAGAAAUACAUUGUAGACGUUGUUAAUGUUGUAAAUUGCUAUUGUAGCUGGAAAAGGCUGAUUUUUAUUGGAAUAUCUACAUACAGAGGCACAUUAUCACCAACCAUCACUCCUGUGUUCGAUUACAGGCUCAAAAUGGCCAGAAACAAAGACCUUCCUUCUGAAACUCAUCGGUCUAUUCUUGUUCUGAGAAAUGAAGGCUACUCCAUGCGAGAAAUUGCCAAGAAACUGAAGAUCUCGUACAAAGCUGUGUACUACUCCCUGCAGAGAACAGCACAAACUGGCUCUAACCAGAAUAGAAAGAGGAGUGGGAGGCCCCGGUGCACAACUGAGCAAGAGGACAAGUACAUUACAGUGUCUAGUUUGUGAAACAGACACUUAACAAGUCCUCAACUGGCAGCUUUAUUAAAUAGUACCCGCAAAACACCAGUCUCAAUGUCAACAGUGAAGAGGCGACCCCAGAAUGCUGGCCUUCUAGGCAGAGUUCCUCUGUCCAGUGUCUGUGUUCUUUUGCCCAUCUUAAUCUUUUCUUUUUGUUGGCCAGUCUGGGAUAUGGCAUUUUCUUUGCAACUCUUCCUAGAAGGCCAGCAUCCUUCAUUAACCUGUUGAGGGUAGGGGGCAGUAUUUGCACGGCCGGAUAAAAAACGUACCCGAUUUAAUCUGGUUAUUACUACUGCCCAGAAACUAGAAUAUGCAUAUAAUUAUUGGCUUUGGAUAGAAAACACCCUAAAGUUUCUAAAACUGUUUGAAUGGUGUCUGUGAGUAUAACAGAACUCAUAUGGCAGGCAAAAACCUGAGAAGAUUCUGUACAGGAAGUGCCCUCUCUGACCAUUCCUUGGGCUUCUUGACUCUUUUUAUUGAAAACUUAGGAUCUUUGCUGUAACGUGACACUUCCUACGGCUCCCAUAGGCUCUCAGAACCCAGGAAAAACCUGAAUGACGUCUUUGCAGCCCCUGGCUGAAAAACAUUAGCGCCUUUGGUAAGUAGUCUAUCAGAGGACAAUGAGACUGAGGCGCGUGCACGAGGUGACCCCAUGUUUUUAUUUUCUCUCUCUUUGUACUAAAACACGGUUUCCCGGUUGGAAUAUUAUCGCUUUUUUACGAGAAAAAUGGCAUAAAAAUUGAUUUUAAACAGCGGUUGACAUGCUUCGAAGUACGGUAAUGGAAUAUUUAGAAUUUUUUUGUCACGAAACGCGUCGGGCGCAUCACCUUUCGGAUAGUGUCUUGAACGCACGAACAAAACGCCACUAUUUGGAUAUAACUAUGGAUUAUUUUGAACCAAACCAACAUUUGUUAUUGAAGUAGAAGUCCUGGGAGUGCAUUCUGAUGAAGAACAGCAAAGGUAAUAACAUAUUUCUUAUAGUAAAUCUGACUUUGGUGAGGGCUAAACUUGGUGGGUGUCUAAAUAGCUAGCCCUGUGAUGCCGGGCUAUCUACUUAGAAUAUUGCAAAAUGUGCUUUCACCGAAAAGCUAUUUUAAAAUCGGACAUAGCGAGUGCAUAGAGGAGUUCUGUAUCUAUAAUUCUUAAAAUAAUUGUAUGUUUUUUGUGAACGUUUAUCGUGAGUAAUUUUGUAAAUUCACUGGAAGUUUGCGGGGGGAGGUAUGCUAGUUCUGAACGUCACAUGCUAAUGUAAAAAGCUGGUUUUUGAUAUAAAUAUGAACUUGAUUGAACAAAACAUGCAUGUAUUGUAUAACAUAAUGUCCUAGGAUUGUCAUCUGAUGAAGAUCAUCAAAGGUUAGUGCUGCAUUUAGCUGUGGUUUGGGUUUAUGUGACAUGCUAGCUUGAAAAAUGUGUGUCUGAUUAUUUCUGGCUGGGUACUCUGCUGACAUAAUCUAAUGUUUUGCUUUCGUUGUAAAGCCUUUUUGAAAUCGGACAGUGUGGUUAGAUUAACGAGAGUCUUGUCUUUAAAAUUGUGUAAAAUAGUCAUAUGUUUGAGAAAUUGAAGUAAUAGCAUUUCUAAGGUAUUUGAAUAACGCGCCACGGGAUUCCACUGGCUGUUACAUAGGUGGGACGAAAUCGUCCCACUGGCCCUAGAGAGGUUAAAGCAUAAUUAUAUUUUGUCUGUAAGUACUUUUAUUGCUUCUUUAAUCAGAACAACAGUUUUCAGCUGUGCAAACAUAAUUGCAAAAGGGUUUUCUAAUGAUCAAUUAGCCUGCUAAACUUGGAUUAGCUAACACAACGUGCCAUUGGAGCACAGGAGUGAUGGUUGCUGAUAAUGGGCCUCUGUACGCCUAUGUAGAUAUUCCAUUAAAAUAUCUGCUGUUUUCAUCUACAAUAGUCAUUUACAACAGUAACAAUGUCUACACUGUAUUUUUCAUCAAUUUGAUGUUAUUUAAAAAAAAAAAAAAUUUCUUUCAAAAACAAGAUUUCUAAGUUACCCCAAAUUUCAAAUCAAAUGAAAUGUAUUUGUCACAUACACAUGGUUAGCAAGUGAAAUUGCAGAGCGCAAAAUUCAAAAUACAAAAAUCAUAAUAUUAAACAUUCAUGAAAAUACAAGUGUCAUACAUCAUUUAAAAUCUUAACUUCUUGUUAAUCCAGCCGCUUUGUCAGAUUUCAAAAAGGCUUUACGGCGAAAGCAUACUAUGCGAUUAUCUGAGGACAGCGCCCCGUGUACAAAAGCAUUAAAAACAUUUUCCAAACCAGCAGAGGCAUCACGAAAGUCAGAAAUAGCGAUAAAAUAAAUCACUUACCUUUCAAGAUCAACCUCUGUUUUCAAUCCCAAGGGUCCCAGCUACAUAACAAAUGGUCGUUUUGUUUGAUAAAGUCCUUCUUUAUAUCCCAAAAAGGUCAGUUUAUUUGGCGCACUUGAUUCAGUAAUCCACCUGUUCCCCUCGUUCAAAAUGCAUACAAAGAAUCCCAAAAGUUACCAAUAAACUUCGUCCAAACAAGUCAAACAACAUUUCUAAUCAAUCCUCAGUUACCCUAAUAUGUAAAUAAACGAUAAAAUUUAAGACGGAGAAUAGUAUGUUCAUUACCGGAGAUAAAUAAUGAAGUGCGUGCCCUCAUCCACACGCGCCAAAAGACGACAGUCAAAAUGAGAGCCACCUAGAAAAACUACAAAUUCUAGCUCAUUUUUCAAAAAACAAGCCUGAAACCCUUUCUAAAGACAUCUAGUGGAAGCCAUAGGAACUGCAAUCUGGGAGGAUUUCCUUUUAUUUUCCCAUAGACAGCCAUUUCAACGGGUGGUGACCUCAAAAAGAUUAUCCUCGGGUUUUCACCUGCCUUAUCAGUUCUGUUGUACUCACAGACAUUAUGUUAACAGUUUUAGAAACUUCAGAGUGUGUUCUAUCCAAAACUACCAAUUAUAUGCAUAUCCUAGCUUCUGGGCCUGAGUAACAGGCAGUUUACUUUGGGCACCUCAGUCAUCCGAACUUCCGAAUAUUGCCCCCUAUAGUAAAGUCAUGACUGUGGCGAUGUCCUCUUAAUCCUACAGUGAGGUUGUGUGCAGAUCUGUACAUGUACUUUUGAUGAGCUCAUCAUCUACAUAGUAUUUUUCAAUAUAUAUGGUUCUAUUAUAGGAGGUGUUUUCUAAAGCAAAGGGACUGAUUGUAAGUGCUUAUGUUUACUGGCUAUAUUCCUUCAUUAAACCAUAAGUGUUGCCUAAUUGAGAAUCCACCUUUUUUUAUCUGAGCACUUCUUUCAUCUGUAAGACUAACU
rnacentral:lncRNA from 1 species